CUGCAUAAAUGUGUACAUAUAAUUUAUGUGUACAUAUUAGGGCUUCUCUAUCCUCAUUUUCAGUGACAGCAGACUUUCCAACCCUCUCCUGAUAAGAUUCUAAGACUGAGACCUAUUUGGACUUCUGGAUUUAAGAACUGUAUUUCGGUAUAUUUAGGCUGCUAGGUGAGCCCAAGCAUGAUGGACUUUGGCAAUCUGCAUGUCUUUGGAAUCAGACUUCUCUUACCUACUAAUUAAAUCCAUUCACAGCAAUCCUUUCUGGCAAGAUUCUUGCCAGCAUCCUCCUUAAUAGACUGAUCCUUCACCUGGAAGAUCCUUCAC
rnacentral:lncRNA from 1 species